CCAAAGGCUCUUUUAAGAGCCACCCACCUUCUUAGUAAAAGAUCU
rnacentral:ncRNA from 1 species